ensembl:lncRNA
GCGGCAGCCCCGAGCAAGGAAAACAAACCAGAUCCAGAUUCAGUCAGAAACGAAUCCUUUAAAAGGAGAAGAUAAACUCACCCUCUCUCCCUCUCUUUUUCUCUCGCUCACUCACUCUCUCCCUCUCCUGGAAUAAAAGCAGAGGAGGGAAAAGGCUCUGUUAACAAAGAGCAGAUCCAGAAAAUGAGGACUGGUGGUGUGUUUGUGUUGCUUAGCGGUGGGUGGAACUGGAGGUGGGGUCCGGCACACUCAACCAGACCAGAGGAAACACCAAAAGUCCGGAUCAGAUCUUUUCCUGCCAAGCUGGGAAACUGAAAGAGAAGGAGCUCUCCAUCCCCUGUGUCAUCCCCUGUGUCAUCUCCACAUGUUUCCCUGUGUGUUAUUCCAUGAGUUAUGGUUUUGGGUUUGGUUUGUUAUUAGUUUCCCCAGUUUAGGUUUAUGUUUAGUUCUGUCCUCGCUUUUGUUAUUUUCACCGUCCACAAUAAAGCUCCCGUGCAUCACAGCAAGUGCCUGCACUUUGGGUUCUUCUUCACAACACCACACGACUGCUGCCCCAGCCGUGACAGAAUUACAAGUUUAAAAUGUCUCAAGUAUGCAAAUGUUAACUUGAAAAUUCAUGUACAGCUAAAAUCAAAAACGUACACAAAAAUGACCAGAAUGGCAUUACAUUUCCAUGACUGUCAUCGAGGUGCAUCAUGAACAACUGGUGGUUAAGGGCAUGCUCACAUUACGUGGACAUUUCAUCAUCAUCACCACUGGAAGCUGUUUUCAAGGCGAGUAAAACUGGUUAGAACUACAAGGAAAAAAGAUACAAAAGCUGAAACGCGUUUUGAGUUUGCUGAGGUAUAAACUGUGGUUUUCUUGAGACUGCAAACUUUACUAAAAAGUUUGUUUCAGCUAUGUUAAUACUAGUCAACCGUUACAUAAGAUGAUCCCGACACCCUUUUUUAUGGCGCACGGACCAAAUUAAAAGCAGAUUAAGUGUUGUAAUAAACCUGUCUGUUUUCCCACACGUAAUCACUUCAGUUGUUAUUUACUGUAGCCAUCAACAG